CGGCGGGGGCGCGCUCGGCCGCGCGCGGUUUUCUUGCGGUUAGUUGGUAGCGGGACGCUGUCAGGAGGCUGUCGUGGCGCGAGGAGGUGUGCGAGAGCGGCCCGCGCCGCGCGGCUGCGCUGCCCUUGCGAACUGCGCGGAGGGAGCGACUAAGGGGACACGCUGCGCGCUGGGAAAGCGUCUCUGAACAAAAUGAAUUUCAUUACAAGGUUUUCUGCUUUAUGUCUGAGGAAAAGCAAGAUGCAACAGAGGUACCUGAGUAGCAGACGACCAGCUGUUCCACUUGGAUCACGGAUUUUGACUGAUCCUGCUAAGAUUUUUGAGCAUAACAUGUGGGAUCACGUGCAGUGGUCGCAAGAAGAGGAAGAGCGUGCCAAGAACAAAGCAGCAGAAAACUCACUUGUGAAAGUCCGACUGGAAGACCAAGACAAGUAUGAGAGAGAAGCCAGUAAUUAUUGGAAUGAAUUUUAUAAGACUCAUAAAAAUAACUUUUUUAAGGAUCGCAAUUGGCUGUUUCUGGAGUUCCCAGAAAUUCUUCCAGAAGAGAAGAGAGAACAGUUGAAAACAGAGGAAAAAUCUUCAGAACUCAUUAAGAGUACCAGCAGUUUUCCUCACCAGGAUUUUCAUGGAAUGUUUGAGGAAGGAAAAGAAUACUGGAAGAGUAAUUAUGGGGAAGACUCUACUUCUGUAUUAGGACAAAUAUGUAACAAAAACCAAGCAAAAUCUGUUACUGACAAUUCUCAGGAUGAAAACUGUAGAGAACAACUUGGCAAGCUAGAAUCCUUCCCUGGUAGUGGUGCUGCUUACAGAGUAUUAGAGGUUGGUUGUGGUGCUGGAAACAGUGUCUUUCCUAUUUUGAAAGUUCUAUGCAAUACACCUGGUACCUUUCUGUACUGUUGUGAUUUUGCUUCAGGAGCAGUGGAGCUGGUAAAGUCACAUUCGUCCUACAAUUCAGCUUGGUGUUUUGCCUUUGUUCAUGAUGUGUGUGAUGAUGCUUUACCCUACCCUUUUCCUGAUGAGAUACUGGAUGUCAUUCUCCUUGUCUUUGUGCUCUCUGCUAUUCAUCCUGACAGGGAAAAAUGUUUUUUACCGUCCUUCAAGCAAAACUCUAAAGUAACAGGAACUACAAUCCUAACCUCCUGGGAAGCAAAUACAAAAAAUAUAUUAAAAAAAAAAAAAAAAAAAGGAAAUCUCUGCACUCUGUAUGCAGUCAAGGUAGGACAAUUAAAUUUACUCCAUAUGUUCUGACAUUUUCCCAUUUAAAUCAAGACCAUAUCUGCAGAUUAUCACCUUGAAGUGCUUCCCAAUCUCAGUUUGUUAUACUUGCAUCUGUUCAACAGAAUUUAAGUGAAUUUUUAUAAACUAGAAAUACAGCUUAAAAGGAAAACACAGCUGAACAGUCUGUAGGCUUUAUCUGGGACUACAACAGUUUAAAUUAGGAAUCUCUUUAAUAUUUUUAUUAUUUUAAAACAACAGACAGCCCCAAAAUCUGAGUUGUAGAGGAGCACUCAUCCAAAGGCCUGAAAAUCUAGGUUAUUCUUCAAGGUAUAAUGUAUUGCAUCAAGAAUACUAAAUCUAGUAUCUGCAUGACAAAGCUUUGUACUUCUCAUGUUAGCCAAAGGAACCUUGCCUAUUGCUACUACGAAGAAGCAGUGAGCAAUGAGAUAGACACAGUUUCAGAUGAUACCCUGUUAAUCAGGUUGCUACAAAUUUGAAGGGAAUCUGAAAGAUCCAGGAAAGCAGGUGAAUUACUUUAAUAGCAGCUACAACCCACUGCUCACAUACACAAGUUAAUAAAUAUUCAAAGAUAAUAUGAGUAUUCAUGUGUAUUGAUACUAAAUCAAUUUUUGACUUCAAUAAAAACACAACAUUGGUGUAUACUGGUAGUUAUAAAAACAACCUCAGUGUUAAAAGGUGUAAAUAUGAUGUAAAAAAGUGAGAAUACUGUAUAGCUAUUGCAUAAAUUCAAUGUAUAAUCUUCUCUGUAGUGUGUCCCAUUCAAUUAGAAAAAUAUGUAAUAAAAGUACAUGGUGAAAGUUCCUAAGACAAGAAAAAACUGUAUGAAGGCAGGUUAGGCAAACGAAUGAUAGACAAUGUGACAAUGGUAUAUAACAGUACAUGCUAGUAUUUAGAAGGUCCACCUUCUCCCUUUAUGCAAUAUAACAGGCCAAGUAAGUUAGUCAAGUUAGCAGGUAACAAGCUUACACUGAUAAAAGUAAUAUUUAAUGUAUAACCUAUAAAUUAUCCAAGGAAUCACAAUAUUCAUGAGGCUAAAGGAUUGGUGAGUUCUUAAAAAUUGGUUAUGUGAGAUUUUCCAUUUUUAUUUUUAUACGUAUAUGUGUGAGAGGGAAAUCUCAUAUUUACUGUGUAAGAUUUUAAAAUGCCUUUCUCCACCUUUUCUGAGGUUCUAACAUUGCUCAGUAGCAGAGCUGGAGAAUAAAGCUGAGCACAGAAUCAGUCUGGUAGACAAAUUUUACUGAACUAAGGUAGAAAUUGGAGAAAAAAGUUAAAAGGGAGCAUACUAAUUGGUGUCACAACAUGUAACAAUCUGCAACAGUCAGACAGAAGUCAGUAUAUCAUAGAGAAUGACAAAUUCAGUACAGUACCUGAGAGACAGGGAGAGACAUCAGUCUUAGCACACUUCCCUGUCACUUAUGACAGUAUCACUGUAAAUAGGUAUUUGGACUAGCUAAAAGCUAAAGAAUAAAAAGAAUUGGUUUGCUAAAAGAAUAUGCAAUUGAUUAAUUAUGCUUAGGUCAGGUUGGCUCUGUUGGAGGGCUCUGCUGCAGAGCCAACAUGCAUUUUCUCUUUCUUUAGUGUCAGGCAUGCUCUGGCCUCCAUUUCCUCCCAAAUAACAAGUGCUCUUUAAAUGGAGGAGCUGCAUCUUUGAACUUGAAUAAAAGGGUGGUUGUGCAGUGCAGGAUUCAGCAGAUGGGCUUAGGGAAUCUGAACCUACCACUAGUUUUUAUUCAACAGUAGGAAAAGCGUUGCCACUUUUAAUGGCUCUGCUUGCUACACGCUCUUUUAAGCGCAGUAGUCGGAUGUCAUUCUGAGGAAUCGGGCAGCUUAUUUUCCAGUGACACUUACUACGCUCCCCAGUGAGACAACGAGAAGAAUGGUGGGAGGAGAAGUGAAAAAGACAGUGUGAGGCAUUUCCAGGGGGAGGUUUACCCUCCAGCACUUGCAUGUGGGUGACAAUCCCUCUGCAAAACAAUUUUUACUUUAAGUGGAGCAGGGCUGAAUCUUCUACAUUCACUUCAGAUUUAAUCUCCAUCCUCGCAAACUACCCGUGCAGCUUUUAGCUAAACAUGCAUUUACUUAAGGAGAAAAUAAUAGUAGCUAGAAACUGUGUCUUUAACUGUGAUUUCACAGAGAGAGACCCUGGCAUAUUAAUCCCUGGCAUAAAUGGGUGUAAUUCUCAAUAAUACCAAUGAAAAGCCUGUUUACACAGGUGCUGAGGGGAGCAGAUGAGAAAGGAAACUACAUGGCAGACAGUCUGCAAAGCAUUGUCUGGGUCCCUCCUGCCAAAGCAACAGAGAUCACCUUCUGCUGAACUUGAACAUACAUGUGGCAAUAACAGCUAUAAUGGGAGCUUCAGUGCACUGUGCAAUCUUUUAAAGGAACAGCCUGCUGCAGGAGGAUACGCUCAUCAGGAAACAUGUUCAGGAGGAACAUGUUCACUUAUGCUAUGGUGUGGAUUGUGGGAUUAUGAGUUUGUUUUAUUUUUAACCUUGCAAGAAGUUUCUAUACCAGCUGCUAAAUAUGAAUACUGCACAUUAAUAUUCACAGAGUGAACUAGUACUGUUUCAUUUCAUGUCUGAAUACUAGUCAUUUCUUGCUGUAGUUUGCCUGUAAUUUCUUUGCUGUAAAGCCUGAAAAAUCUUCUCUAUGAUCAAACCCUUAAAAAACAAAAAUAUCUUGGUCAAAACAUCAGAAUACUUCUCUAUGCCAAAAAAAAAAAAAAAAAAAAAAAAAGUUUAUCUGUUACUAAAUAUAUAGUCUGUAACAGAUCUAGUUAGCAAGUAAGCACAUUAAUUUUUCUUCGGGUUAAUACCUGAUUGCUAAGAAACUUGCAGCUAUGCUGUAUACUUGUGGGAGGCGAAGAUCUUAGAUAAUCUGACAGAUGUCACUUAAAAAGGAAGAAAGAACUGCUAAUAUCCAUGUUAUGUACAGAUCUCCAACCCCAAAUCAGUAAUUUAUUCCUGCCAUUCUCAAAUUCAGAGGAAAAUAGGUUAGUAGAUGGCCAGGAUGUCUCCACACAGCAACUACAAAAUGACUUCCACACCAGGCUGAUGAGGAUACUUACUUGUGUAUGCAAAAUCCCAUAAAUCUGCAAGCCAUGGUAUUUUGCAAG